rnacentral:rRNA from 1 species
AUUGAACGCUGGCGGCAUGCCUUACACAUGCAAGUCGAACGGCGGCACGGGUGCUUGCACCUGGUGGCGAGUGGCGAACGGGUGAGUAAUGCAUCGGAACGUACCCGGAAGUGGGGGAUAACGUAGCGAAAGUUACGCUAAUACCGCAUAUUCUGUGAGCAGGAAAGCGGGGGAUCGCAAGACCUCGCGCUUCCGGAGCGGCCGAUGUAGGAUUAGCUAGUUGGCGGGGUAAAGGCCCACCAAGGCAACGAUCCGUAGCGGGUCUGAGAGGAUGAUCCGCCACACUGGGACUGAGACACGGCCCAGACUCCUACGGGAGGCAGCAGUGGGGAAUUUUGGACAAUGGGGGCAACCCUGAUCCAGCCAUGCCGCGUGAGUGAAGAAGGCCUUCGGGUUGUAAAGCUCUUUCGGCUGGGAAGAAAUCGCAUCUCCUAAUACGGGGUGUGGAUGACGGUACCAGCAUAAGAAGCACCGGCUAACUACGUGCCAGCCGCCGCAGUAAAAC